UUUACACGUUUAUCCAUAAGGGCCAGUUCAGCUUCGUGUCGCGCUCGAAUUUCCGGUAAACAGAAACUUUUCUUCUUCCUUUUAGAUUCAUGGCGCUGUAGUCGUUUCAAGGAUGUGCAUCUGUACAUGUGGCUACUUCAAGUCCAACUCACGAAGCCUCGUAUCGAUACACUUAAGAACCGUUCAGUGCCGAAGACCAGUAACACGCGUCCAGGACAACUCGAACAUUUCUGCCUGUCACCGUCUGUUCCUGACGCGGAGUAUAAGCUAUGCUUGUUGAACUUUGCUUGUAAAGGUUGGCGUUUUAAGCUACCUUUCGUGGCCUGAUGGUAUACAACAUGUGAUAUUAGAACCAUGAUAACCAGGGGUGACUGCCUGGCAAGUACUAUGUGAAAGGGUGCCGACAAGUCGCGCGAGGAGGGACCCUGCAACAGAAAUCGUCGUCGAGUUCCUAAACUGUCGCUUCCAACUGUUUGUUUCUUUGUUUUUCACUGUAUGUGCGGCGAGGAGUUUCUUGCCAGGCCGAUAGCCCAUAUUCACUUUCGGUCUAACGGAGACCGCUCUGACCAAAUGACAUUGCUGGGCUUUAUUGAAGACCGCUACCUGUAGACUUUGGGCUUUACUAUACUAAUUUUCAAAGAUUAACUGCGUGGCUGGUGUCUUUCAGUAGGUUGCUGGUUCGUUUUAAAAGCAUAAUUGGGCUAAGGUGAAGCCCACUGAUUUCAAUGGUCGUUAAGCGAAUAUGCAUGCUUCGGAACGACCCCGUUUCGACUAAGGGCUACGUACGUGAUUGGAGUGUCUUUAUGGCUGUGUACGUCCCCACGUCUCGCCAUUCAGCGUACGAAGAUUCUUUUUUGCCGGCGAACUCUAUUAGCUGGACAAGGAGCGCAUUCAUGUGAAGAGUGACCGAUAAAGCAAGUUAUAUGUUUAUCUUCUAAGUAUUCUCGAUGAAUAAACAACAACUAGAUUCGAAACAUUUCAGUGCUACGUAACGUGCGGGUAUUGCGGAGACAUGAUAAAUUCAACGUAACAAUCAAAGACGAGUACAGGACCACAAACUGGUUGACUUCUCGCCACAGGAUGUGCUAACAAUUUAGCCUCAAUCUGCUAGGCAUUGAAAACAUCGAACGUCGGUGGGUGUGCUCGAAAACUUUCAGUUGUGACCGCAACGAAAAGUAAGAUCUAAGUCGCUUGCGGAGCUUCGUGUCCUCACAGCUUUACGGGUGUUAACACCGAGUUUGUGGCAGGAAAGCCUUCAGUAGCACUAGCUUUCUUGCUUAAAAAGAGGAAAACACGAAAGAAUGAGGCCGUUCGCAUCAAAUACUUUUAUCGUCCUGUUCAUCGCUGCCGUGUUCAUAAUUAGCUUUAUGGGAGAAACCACAGCCGCCGAUUCGGGGGCUACCUACGGAAAUGAGGCGCCCCGCGAUUUCAACACGAAGCGAAUCAUUGCGUUGCUACGGCGAAGCAGUCGGCAACCAAAUGCUCUUGCUGACAGCUGUCGUCUUUACGGGCAUUCAUGCCUUGGAGGUCACGGCAAACGGUCGUCGCUUAACGGAGCCGAAGAAGCAGAGGACGAACAUGCGGCGUACCGUUUCGAUGAUGAAUGGCUGCGAAACCGCGUUUAAAUAAGAGUGUGUGCUGAGCCGCUGUUCGUACUGAUAAAAAAGGCGCAUCAUGCUAACAACAAUUACUAGGUCUUUUGUUGGCUAAGAAACCCUUUCGCCUACGAUGGAAGCUUGGAGCGGGACCAAGCCCAGGGCAUAUGAGACGACAAAUCACAAAGUAUAGAGCUACGAUGGUCGGGGCAAACAGAAACUGUCUAAGAUGCUUUAGCCUAGCUGUGGAUAUCAGUGUGAGAUCAAAAAAUUACACCAAUGUACAUUAGCUUAUUAAAAAUAACAUGGUACAAACUUACUUACGUGUAAAUGAAACAAAAACCCAUAUAGAGUAUUUAACAAAUAUUCUGAAAUGCAACAUCAGACAGGUAGGUGUUUUCUCCUUUAAAUCGCAUCGAAUUUCGAACCUUUUUUUCCGUACAACUAUUAGCUACUACCGUAUUAAUAGUAAUCUCGUAUUCUAAUGAUUAGCUACCUACAACGUACAAAAUCCGUAAGGGGUAGUCAUGAACUAAGGCAGUUUCCAAUCGAAUCCGGAUAUUUUUUCUAUUUUUUUUAAAAAUCCGGUCGACCCUAUGUCGCAUGAUUUGUUGAAGCUACCGCAUUAUAGCAUGAACAGCCGUACCAAAAAUAAGCGUAAAUAUACCAUAACCUUAAAUAUUUUGCAGCUGGUUGGAGAUAUAUGCAAUAGAUUGUGCUAGUCGUUCAUUUUUUCUAUCUGCGGCCAGAAUGAGACAACUACAUUUAGGGUACCCAGAUAAAUGGAAAAGAGUACCCACUGGCGAUAUUAUGGGUAUCAUGUGCAACGCCAACAAACGAAUAGUUCGCUCGGUAAGCAGCCAUCUGUGGCUCUAUAUAUACUCGUGUAGACGGGAGGCAACCAGGUUUUAUAAACGGCAAUGCUAUGCAACACCCACUGAUAGAUUCUUUGAAGUUCAUAUCACAAUAUUUGUAUCACAUAUUGAAAAUGGUACUUAUACAGUGCCAGUAGCGGCUAUAACAAGAGCGCGUCGAUACGAAAUGCGCGAGUCAAAAGAAGAACUCACAAUUCCCUUCACCGUAAGCGACUUUUACCAGCGAAUAACAACAAAGGACCAAUAGGAAAGCUUUGACAGUUCAGCGAAUUUAGUCAAUCUAAAUAUUCCGAUAGGUUAGAGUGAUGUUAAACGACGACGAGUAUGAUAGCGGUGACGCGAACAAAUUAAGGCGAUAGCGCAGGA
rnacentral:lncRNA from 1 species